GUCUUUUAAGAUUUAUAAUUAAAAGUCUAUUCUGCUCCAUGAAUUUAAAUUUAAAUAGCUGCAGUAUUUUAACUGUACUAAGGUAGCAUAAUCAAUUGUUUUUUAAAUGAAAGCUAGAAUGAAGGAUUGAAUGAAAUAAAAUCUGUCUCAAUUUUAAUAAAUUUAGAAUUUUUAUUUUAGUAAAAAAGCUGAAUUUAAUUUAAAAGACGAGAAGACCCUAUAGAUUUUUAUAUUUUUAUUAAUGUAUUAAUUUUAUUAAUAAAAUUUUAUUAAAUUAAAAAUAUUUAAUUGGGGAAAUUUUUAAAUUAAAUUAAUUUUAUUUAUUAUAAAAAUAACAAAAAUUUUUGAGUUUAAGAUUAUAUAUUUAUGUAAUAUUAGAAUUAAUUACCUUAGGGAUAACAGCGUAAUUUUUUUGGAGAGAUCAUAUUUAUAAAAAAGUUUGC
rnacentral:rRNA from 1 species